rnacentral:rRNA from 1 species
AGAGUUUGAUCCUGGCUCAGGAUGAACGCUAGCGGCAGGCUUAACACAUGCAAGUCGAGGGGCAGCACGGUAGCAAUACUGGUGGCGACCGGCGCACGGGUGAGUAACGCGUAUGCAAUCUACCUUUAACCGGGGAAUAGCUUCGAGAAAUCGAAAUUAAUAUCCCAUAAUAUUCCGAAGAGGCAUCUCUUUGGUUUUAAAGCUCCGGCGGUUGUAGAUGAGCAUGCGUGUCAUUAGCUAGUUGGUAAGGUAACGGCUUACCAAGGCUACGAUGACUAGGGGGUCUGAGAGGAUGAUCCCCCACACUGGUACUGAGACACGGACCAGACUCCUACGGGAGGCAGCAGUGAGGAAUAUUGGUCAAUGGGUGCAAACCUGAACCAGCCAUGCCGCGUGCAGGAAUAAGGUCCUAUGGAUUGUAAACUGCUUUUAUACGGAAAAAAACCCUUCGACGUGUCGGAGGCUGAUGGUACCGUAAGAAUAAGGAUCGGCUAACUCCGUGCCAGCAGCCGCGGUAAUACGGAGGAUCCAAGCGUUAUCCGGAUUCACUGGGUUUAAAGGGUGUGUAGGCGGGGUAUUAAGUCAGUGGUGAAAGCCUACAGCUUAACUGUAGAACUGCCAUUGAAACUGAUAUUCUUGAGUACAAUUGAGGUAGGCGGAAUGUGUGGUGUAGCGGUGAAAUGCUUAGAGAUCACACAGAACACCGAUUGCGAAGGCAGCUUGCUAAAUUGUAACUGACGCUGAGACACGAAAGCGUGGGGAUCAAACAGGAUUAGAUACCCUGGUAGUCC